rnacentral:misc_RNA from 1 species
AGAGGAUCUAAUUAUAAUUCUUCCUUUGAGCAUUUCACAUCCACAACAAUCAUUUAUCAUGUUUAGUCAGUUCUCUGUCUGCUCCAACCCUAAUCAGUAAAUUGUUACAUGUCCCGAGCAACGAGAUAAGCUGGAGUGAUCAUCUCUCAUUAGGAAGCAUUAUUCAGACGCAGGUCUUCUCAAACUCCUCUUUUUUUUCUUUGGUUUACGCUUUUUCUGUUUCUCCUUCAGUCUUGCAAAGUCCUUGAUGCUCUUUUCCCAUUCUUUUCUGUGCUUUAGGUAAAGCAUCAUAGCAGCACGGGCAUCCUCUAUUGGGCAAUGCUCUCCAUUUUGUAUCUCCACUCCAAGGACUUCAGUAGCAAGGUUCCGUAGUGCACGACUGCGUCCUUCCCUUAGAAAAUGCUUAUAUUCAGAAGUGUCACGAAUAUCCUGCUUUUGAUGGCCUAAUAACAAGGCCUUAAAAUCAUUUCGCAGAGCAUGGCCAACAAGAAUCCGUCCCUUUAUUAGUUCUGCCACCUCCUUCUGAACAACGCGGAAAUCUUUUGCUUUCUUUAAGUGCUGAGGUCUAAUACCACUGAUUUUGGUGCGGAAGUCAACAACACGUUCAACUGGACGAACAUAUUCGUCAUAUAUCACAUUUCCCCAUUGGUUGACCAGUGUGACUCGCCCAAGAGCACUUCUGUUUCCCACAGAGCUUACGCCAACCAUUUCACAAUCCAUCCCUAUCACAUCUGUAACACUUGAAUCCGAUGAAGUUGGAGUAAGAGGAUUAGGCGUAGCAUCUCCGGAAUCAUCACUGGGCCUGCUUUUGCGCUUUCCUAAUAUGGAAUUAGGAUUUUCUGUUUCUGAAGGAUUUGACAGUUGUUUUUGGAAGCCAUUGCUGUUGAGUUGUUGACGGAGCUGAGCCCAGUUGGGAUUUAGCUGAAACUGUUUCUUAGGGUUUUUCAAUUGAUCCGCCAUUUUUGUCUUCCUCUCCGCGUGGUG